rnacentral:rRNA from 1 species
UGACGGAGGGGGCUAGCGUUUGUUCGGGAAUUACUGGGCGUAAAGCGCACGUAGGCGGCUUUGUAAGUUAGAGGUGAAAGCCCGGGGCUCAACUCCGGAAUUGCCUUUAAGACUGCAUCGCUAGAAUUGUGGAGAGGUAAGUGGAAUUCCGAGUGUAGAGGUGAAAUUCGUAGAUAUUCGGAAGAACACCAGUGGCGAAGGCGACUUACUGGACACAUAUUGACGCUGAGGUGCGAAAGCGUGGGGAGCAAACAGG